rnacentral:rRNA from 1 species
AUCACAUAACACAUAUAUUUAACAAAAAAAUUAUUUCUUUGUGGUGCGCCAGGCUUCAACAAAUUUCUGGGUGCACCACCUACUCCAACCUUACUUCCAUGCUCGACUCACGCGGCCUUGACACCGCCGACGACCACCCGAGCGCUCUCACAAGAGGAUUCUUCUCUCACUUCAUCCAUCCUGAGUUGAGCGACCUGACCCAACGGCGCACUGUCGACGAGGAUACAAGAGAAGCCAAACAAUUGUGGGACUAUCGGUCCAGGAAGCCAUGAGAAGGCUGCGAAGUUAACAUCAACCCUCAGGAACAGCUUGCGCAGGAAGAGGCCAUCUACGAAAUUACUAUGCGGAUGACAGUAUCCCAGCCGAAUGGUGGACGAUGUUGGAUUGAACGGCCUUGUUUAAUUUAGCUCUAUUCAUGUACGGCUUGAUAUGUUACAUCGUCUGAAAAUCGUCCACCAUGGUCGUCCGUGUAGCAACGUUCGGCCAUCUACCAUGAGCACGAAGAUCUAGCUUGUUCGACGAUUAUUGCAUGAUUCCGGACAAAAAACACGCGUGCAACCUCAAGGCCGCCACUUUUCCAACGGGCGUGCGUCGCCGUGUCGAGGAAGAGCAGCAUCACAUACCCAUUGUGCAGGGAUACAUGACGAUGGGGUCGACGUUGGGGCGAGUAUCGUCCGCCGAUGCCAUGGUUUAGCUAGCUCUAAUUUUGCCGAUUGAUGGAG